rnacentral:rRNA from 1 species
CCCCGCACAAGCAGCGGAGCGUGUGGUUUAAUUCGAUGCUACACGAAGAGCCUUACCUGGGUUUGACAUGGACGUGGUAGGAAGCGAAAGCGGACCGACCCUUCGGGGAGCGUUCACAGGUGCUGCAUGGCUGUCGUCAGCUCGUGCCGUGAGAUGUUGGGUUAAGUCCCGCAACGAGCGCAACCCUUGCCUUUAGUUGCCAGCAGUUCGGCUGGGCACUCUAAAGGGACUGCCGGUGUUAAACCGGAGGAAGGUGGGGAUGACGUCAAGUCCUCAUGGCCUUUAUGACCAGGGCUACACACGUACUACAAUGGCCGAUACAAAGGGCAGCGACAUUGCGAAAUGAAGCCAAUCCCAUAAAUUCGGUCUCAGUCCGGAUUGGAGUCUGCAACUCGACUCCAUGAAGUUGGAAUCGCUAGUAAUCGCGGAUCAGCACGCCGCGGUGAAUACGUUCCCGGGCCUU